UGGUGGAGUGAUUUGUCUGGUUAAUUCCGUUAACGAACGAGACUCUGUCCUGCUAACUAGGUUGUGUUUUCUCGGGUUGGUGUUUCUGGUGUUCCUUCUGGGGCGCCGGCCCAAUCCACUUGUGAACACAACACUCUUCUUAGAGGGACUGGCGGCUGUUAGCCGCACGAGAUAGAGCAAUAACA
rnacentral:rRNA from 1 species